rnacentral:rRNA from 1 species
UGUGUAGGCGGUCUUGCAAGUCAGGGGUGAAAUCUCUCGGCUCAACCGAGAAACUGCCUUUGAGACUGCAGGACUUGAGGGCGUGAGAGGAGACUGGAAUUCCUAGUGUAGCGGUGAAAUGCAUAGAUAUUAGGAGGAACACCAGUGGCGAAGGCGAGUCUCUGGCACGCAUCUGACGCUGAAACACGAAAGCCAGGGGAGCGAACGGGAUUAGAUACCCCGGUAGUCCUGGCUGUAAACGUUGGGCACUAAGUGUUGGCCGAUCGACCCGGCCAGUGCUGCAGCUAACGCGUUAAGUGCCCCGCCUGGGGAGUACGGCCGCAAGGUUGAA